rnacentral:lncRNA from 1 species
CUAGACAUAAAGGUUCUCCACGUCUCCACCAGACUCAGGAGCUCAGCUGGCUUCACUCAGUGGAUCCUGCAUGGGGGCUGCAGGUGGAGCUGCCUGCCAGUCCGGAGCCGUGCGCCCUGCACUCCUCAGCCCUUGGGUGGUCAAUGGGACUGGGCGCCCUGGAGCAGGGGGCGGCGCUCGUUGGGGAGGCUAGGGCCGCACAGGAGCCCACGGAGGUGGGGGGAGGCUCAGGCAUGGCGGGCUGCAGGUGCCGAGCCCUGCCCCGCGGGAAGGCAGCUAAGGCCCGGCGAGAAAUUGAGCACAGCAGCUGCUGGCCCAGGUGCUAAGCCCCUCACUGCCCUGGGCCGGUGGGGCCCGCCGGCGGCUCCGAGUGCAGGGUCCGCCGAGCCCACGCCCACCCGGAACUCGCGCUGGCCCGCAAGCACCGCGCGCAGCCCCGGUUCUCGCCGGCGCCUCUCCCUCCACAACUCCCCGGAAGCUGAGGGAGCCGGCUUCGGCCUUGGCCAGCCCAGAAAAGGGAUCCCACAGUGCAGCGGCGGGCUGAAGGGCUCCUCAAGUGCCGUCAAAGUGGGAGCCCAGGCAGAGGAGGCGCCGAGAGCGAGCGAAGGCUGUGAGGACUGCCAGCAGGCUGUCACCUCUCACCAGGUUGGCAGAAAAAGAAAACAUUAGCAGCCAAAUUAGCCAGUCUGCCUGUGGAAUGAAGGCUCCAGUUUUUGACCUCUAAUGAAAGAAGAAAGACUACUCAUUGAGGUUUGUGUUGACACUCUCAACUCCAUACCAGUUAUGUAUUUUGAUUAAGGCCUUUAACUCUCUCUAAUCC